CGCGGCCUAUCAGCUUGUUGGUGGGGUAGUGGCCUACCGAGGCGACGACGGGUAGCCGGCCUGAGAGGGUGACCGGCCACACUGGAACUGAGACACGGCCCAGACUCCUACGGGAGGCAGCAGUGGGGAAUAUUGCGCAAUGGGCGGAAGCCUGACGCAGCGACGCCGCGUGGGGGAUGACGGCCUUCGGGUUGUAAACCUCUUUCAGCAGGGACGAAGCCGUGAGGUGACGGUACCUGCAGAAGAAGCACCGGCCAACUACGUGCCAGCAGCCGCGGUAAUACGUAGGGUGCAAGCGUUGUCCGGAAUUAUUGGGCGUAAAGAGCUCGUAGGCGGUUCGUCGCGUCGGCUGUGAAAACCUGAGGCUCAACCUCAGGCCUGCAGUCGAUACGGGCGGACUUGAGUGUUGCAGGGGAGACUGGAAUUCCUGGUGUAGCGGUGAAAUGCGCAGAUAUCAGGAGGAACACCGGUGGCGAAGGCGGGUCUCUGGGCGACUACUGACGCUGAGGAGCGAAAGCGUGGGGAGCGAACAGGAUUAGAUACCCUGGUAGUCCACGCCGUAAACGUUGGGCGCUAGGUGUGGGGGCCAUUCCACGGUCUCCGUGCCGCAGCUAACGCAUUAAGCGCCCCGCCUGGGGAGUACGG
rnacentral:rRNA from 1 species